CACCGCACCACGCUGUGCCCACAGAAAUGUGGACGUCGGCACCCUCCCUACCGCGCCUGGUACGGGAACCCGUCCGCUGCACCUGCUCCGCGCAGGGCACCGGUUUCUCCUGCCCCAGCAGUGUGGGCGGGCACCCGCCCCAGAUGCGGGUGGUCACAGGCGACAUCCUGACCGACAUCACCGGCCACAACGUCUCUGAGUACCUGCUCUUCACCUCCGACCGCUUCCGACUGCACCGGUAUGGGGCCAUCACCUUUGGAAACGUCCUCAAGUCCAUCCCAGCCUCAUUUGGCGCCAGGGCCCCACCCAUGGUGCGGAAGAUCGCGGUGCGCAGGGCUGCCCAGGUUUUCUACAACAACAAGGGCUAUCACAGCAUGCCCACCUACCUCAACAGCCUCAAUAACGCCAUCCUGCGUGCCAACCUGCCCAAGAGCAAGGGCAACCCGGCGGCUUACGGCAUCACCGUCACCAACCACCCCAUGAAUAAGACCAGCGCCAGCCUCUCCCUGGAUUACCUGCUGCAGGGCACGGAUGUCGUCAUUGCCAUCUUCAUCAUCGUGGCCAUGUCAUUCGUGCCGGCCAGCUUCGUCGUCUUCCUCGUGGCCGAGAAGUCCACCAAGGCCAAGCACCUGCAGUUCGUCAGCGGCUGCAACCCCAUCAUCUACUGGCUGGCAAACUACGUGUGGGACAUGCUCAACUACCUGGUCCCCGCUACCUGCUGCGUCAUCAUCCUGUUUGUGUUCGACCUGCCGGCCUACACGUCGCCCACCAACUUCCCUGCCGUCCUCUCCCUCUUCCUGCUCUACGGGUAAGGGGGAGCGGAGCGGGGAGCGGCCUCAGGUGGGGCCGGGGCUGCCUGGUGACCACUGCCCGCCACCUGCCCGCAGGUGGUCCAUCACGCCCAUCAUGUACCCAGCCUCCUUCUGGUUCGAGGUCCCCAGCUCGGCCUACGUGUUCCUCAUUGU
rnacentral:sRNA from 1 species